rnacentral:lncRNA from 1 species
GAGGAGGUUAUUAAUAAUUUAUCGAAGACAACAAACUUUCAGAAAACUAUGAAAAUGCCGAUCCACGGCCCAUAAUUUAAAGGAUGACUUUUUGUUUUAUUUUUUCAACUUUUUAUAUUUCUUUCUUUUAACAACUCAUGUUAGAUGAUUUAGGUUUCUAAUAGGAGUUAGAACACGGCCCUUGAGGUUGGAGGGCGGAGCCUUCUGGGAGCUCGGGGACGACGAGGACCGCGAGGGC